CGGAUUGAAGGCUGAAAUUCGCCUUCAUGAAGUCGGAAUUGCUAGUAAUGGCAGGUCAGCAUACUGCCGUGAAUACGUUCCCGGGCCUUGUACACACCGCCCGUCACACCAUGAGAGUUGGAGAUACCCGAAGCCUAUGAGCUAACCUUUAGAGGCAGUAGUCGAAGGUAGAAUCAAUGAUUGGGGUGAAGUCGUAACAAGGUAGC
rnacentral:rRNA from 1 species